CCUACGGGAGGCAGCAGUGAGGAAUCUUCCGCAAUGGGCGAAAGCCUGACGGAGCAACGCCGCGUGAAGGAAGAAGUAUUUCGGUAUGUAAACUUCUAUCAGCAGGGAAGAAAAUGACGGUACCUGACUAAGAAGCCCCGGCUAACUACGUGCCAGCAGCCGCGGUAAUACGUAGGGGGCAAGCGUUAUCCGGAUUUACUGGGUGUAAAGGGAGCGUAGGCGGUUUAGCAAGUCAGAAGUGAAAGCCCGGGGCUCAACUCCGGGACUGCUUUUGAAACUGUUGAACUAGAUUGCAGGAGAGGUAAGUGGAAUUCCUAGUGUAGCGGUGAAAUGCGUAGAUAUUAGGAGGAAUACCGUUAGCGAAGGUGGCAAUCUGGCUGGAAACUGACGCUGAGGUGCGAAAGCGUGGGUAGCAAACAGGAUUAGAUACCCUGGUAGUC
rnacentral:rRNA from 1 species